CUUACUAGAAUUGCAGCGUGUGACACCCUUACCGUAACAUAUAAAGUGCAUAUAACUGGAAAACCCUGUAGGGCUAAGAUCAGGGGUGUAGGUAAGAGCUAGGAAAGGUAUAUAUAAAAUACCCACAUGAAUGAGUCAGAAAAACCUCCUGUAGGAACCUACCAAAUGUAAGAGGGGGAAACAACCCAUAAACCACUGUUCUAAAAAUACUGAAACUCCGGUUAUAUGCACUUUAUAUGUUACAGUAAGGGUGUCACACGCCACAAUUCUAGUAAGUUUACCAA